rnacentral:rRNA from 1 species
UACGGGGGGGCAAGGCGUUGUUCGGAAUUACGUGGGCGUAAAGGGCUCGUAGGCGGCCAACUAAGUCGGAUGUGAAAUCCCCAGGCUUAACCUGGGAACUGCAUCCGAUACUGGAUGGCUUGAAGUCCGGGAGAGGGAUGCGGAAUUCCAGGUGUAGGCGGUGAAAUGCGUAGAUAUCUGGAGGAACACCUGUAGGCGAAAGCGGCUCACUGGACCAGCA